CUCAACGUGAAGUUUGGAGGAUUGUUAACUGGGUUAAUUCUUUAACCUCCAGGUUAAUAUAAAUCCUUACAGGAAGCUUCAUGGGUUUAUCCCUGCUUUGAAUUCCAAGAUUGACAGCUCAGCUGAACAGAAAUAAUUGUCACAGACACACUGUAAGUAGCUGCCCGUGAGCAUUAAUGGACUUGAAAACACAGAAGGUGGCUCCCAGCCUGUGGGUGGGAUAUUCAGACCUACGGCUUCCCAGAGCCCAAGCUAAAUGAGAAUCCCUCUGACAUAAUGAAGUGGGCCAAAGACAGUGCUGCGCGGCCUCCUGGAACCACAGACGUCUGCGGUUCAUUGCCAAGGGGACACACGCACACACAUUAGGACCCAGUACGUUCCAUAAGGUGGCAGAGGAUGGACGCAGCUACAUGAGCCUGUCCUUGGUUCAUGCACAGAACGAAUCUUUGCUGACAGCCGCCCUGUGCUCCUUGCUGCGGAGUUGGCGGGAGCCUUAGGCAGCACCAGGAGACCAAGACGGAGCUCAUUCCAGAGAGUGGUGAUCCAAAAGAACCUAUCAAAACACCACGAUAAUUCAUCCUUGGCCCAGCAUUUAACUG